GAGCCGGUAGACUGGCGUGCGGCCGGGCGGAGGCGGGCGGAGGUGGUCGGUCCGCGCCAGGGCCACGCGUUUCCGGUCCCCCGCCUUCCCAGGACAAGUGCUCCCCGAGUACCAGCGGCGCGGAGUGGCGGGUGUGGGCCAGGGGCCCGGAGCGGGGAUGCCGCGGCGGGGCGGAGGCGGUGCUCCCUCCGCGUAGGUCCCCAAGAGCUGGACGCUGCCACCGGAAAGGCUCAGCUGGUGCGCGGUGGGGCCGGAGAAUUCCUGUUUUUCAGAGCUUCCCGGGUGAUUCCCGCCGCCAGCCACCGCAUUCGGGACUGGGCUUCAUUCCCUGAUCCUCUCCUGGACCCAGACAACUGAAACGGACCAUGCUUGGGCAUCCUCUCCAGCUCCACAGUUCCCCCAGAUGCUGUCUUUGUUGAUGCCUCUCAUCUCUUUAUAUUGUGCCUACUGUGGAUUUUUAUGAGAUUUCUGAAUAAGAACCCUAAGGAGAACGUGGGUGCAAAUGGCAGAGAUCUCAGGAGCAAGAGUGGCCACUGGCAUGAACAAGAGGCAAAAGGCUCCAUCAUGGCUCAGCAUGGCACUGCUCCCAGCCCACAGACUGAAGCAGACACCUAAUCACAAUUGCUACCUAACCACGACCUUCUUAUCUCAUUGAGGACUCUGAGAGGCAAGUUUCUCCCUAUUCUUUUAUAGAAACAUAAAAUGCCAGCAAAGCAUGAUUUCUACCCAAAAGAGCGCUAAACAGAGCUUGCAGAUGUUUCAGGCUUCUCCCCUGAUACUUCUGGAGAAGGGCACACAGACCUUGGCAUACCUUGCUUUAAAAGCAGGCAAUAGCAAACAGCGCGUUCAUUCCACCUACUUCCCAGAAGGGAAGAUCCUUAUGUAAUGGGUCAGAUGGGCCUUUGGUCCCAUGUGGAGAGUCUCCCUUAGGGACUUUUAUAUUACUGUAUCCUGGGGGUUUUGUGGGUAUUCGUUUCUGCAUGUCAAGGACUUCACAGUACACAUUCACAUGGAAAUUACUAAUUAAAAGUAGCAGUGAUAAUAACAUUUAGAGUGCUGUUUUCAUCAGUGGUUUCAUUUUACUUAGGACACCUCCUUUGCUGAAACCAUAGAUUCUAAUUUGCUCUGUCAAAGUUAUCACUAGAAAAAUAAGAUAUUCUUAGCACUUAAACUUUAGGAAAUUUCCUCUAUUACUCUUCUCCAUUUGAUUUAAUGGACUAUAUGUUACUUUCAACAUGUAAGUUGGGACAUCACAAAAUAAACUUAACC